AUUCAACAUGGAACGAGUGGCGGACGGGUGAGUAACACGUGGGUAACCUGCCCUUAAGUGGGGGAUAACAUUUGGAAACAGAUGCUAAUACCGCAUAGAUCCAAGAACCGCAGGGUUCUUGGCUGAAAGAUGGCGUAAGCUAUCGCUUUUGGAUGGACCCGCGGCGUAUUAGCUAGUUGGUGAGGUAAUGGCUCACCAAGGCGAUGAUACGUAGCCAAACUGAGAGGUUGAUCGGCCACAUUGGGACUGAGACACGGCCCAAACUCCUACGGGAGGCAGCAGUAGGGAAUCUUCCACAAUGGACGCAAGUCUGAUGGAGCAACGCCGCGUGAGUGAAGAAGGCUUUCGGGUCGUAAAACUCUGUUGUUGGAGAAAAAUGGUCGGCAGAGUAACUGUUGUCGGCGUGACGGUAUCCAACCAGAAAGCCACGGCUAACUACGUGCCAGCAGCCGCGGUAAUACGUAGGUGGCAAGCGUUAUCCGGAUUUAUUGGGCGUAAAGCGAGCGCAGGCGGUUUUUUAAGUCUGAUGUGAAAGCCCUCGGCUUA
rnacentral:rRNA from 1 species